GUGGUCUCAAAUGUCAGUCUUUUAGAUUUUGACCUUAAGUGUCUGUAUUACUAGAGACAAUUUUGGUUGAGAGAGUGAUAGCAUCUUUUGGAGAAGAUGAGAGAAAGCCUGAGGAAUUGCUCUUCAGUAUAUACUUGAUCACUUUCAAGAGAUGACCAGGAAGAUUCAAGUCUUCUGUAGAGGCACAAAAGGUGUGAAAUCAAAUGCUGGGGGAGCUGGGCUGGCUGCGGCAUGACUGAGCACCCAUCACCGUGUUCCUUUGAAGGAAGAAUCUGGCAAGCAGCAUGAUGUGGG